GCUUCGGAUGUUUUCACGGUCGAAUUCGAGAUCUUGUCACAUUUUACAAGAAAAGAUAAUUGUCUGUUUUACUUACAUCUAUCACCUUU